rnacentral:lncRNA from 9 species
GCGGGACUCAAUAUGGCGGCGCGCGCUCGGCCGCUUGACCCCGGUGUCCCCUAAAGCGGGUAAGGGAUGAAACUUUCUCAUCUCGAGUCAUGCUGUUUUCGGAAACGUAGGGAUGCGUUUUAAUUUCUAUGCGCCACCCGUGGGUCGGCCCUCACCUGCGAGUCGGCUGACCGUGAACGACCCUCACUUGCUGUGCACCGGAAGGGCUUGGUCUUCUUGGCCUCUGUUUCCCGGAAGUGGUUUCCCUCCACCUCCUCAGGAGGGCCGGCCUUCCCUAAGGGCGGAGUCUAGGGCUUCUUUGGGACUGAAUAUGCAUUAGCUUUUGGAAGUCCAGCUUUGAUUUUCCCCUAAGCAUUGCUACAAAGGCCGGACUGCGGCUCUGGGCACCGUUCACAUCCUCGGCCGCCUUUGGCUUUGUGACCUUGGGCCGGUUGUAUAAGCUCUCUGAGCUUCCCAGGUGACUUCUCUGCAAAGUGGGCUGGUAACGCCCGAGUUGGUGCUAAAUCCUAAAGUUCAUGCUGCGAACCGGGCCCUCAGCAGAUCAGCCUCUGUUUGGUCUGGUGGCAGGCCCCACGGGCUCCUGAGAGACGUGAGAAGCAGCUUUGUAUGGGAGCCACCUCUGCUCGCGUUUCCACCCAGAAUCAAAGGACUGACUGACCAUUCUUUCAAUCCCUAAGCGGUGUCUUUUCUAUCUAAUCCUAAUAACCAAGCCUGGAGGAAUUGUAGACUUUCUGGUUGAAGGUUCAACAGGUCUCCUCGUUUAAGGAUAGAGUUAAGUCUCAGUGAAGCUACAGAGGAGAAUCUGAAAAAUGCAAAUGUUACUACCUUAACGGAAAGAGGGAGGAGGGGGCGCUUUCCUAAAUGGCCUUUACCUUGGACCUUUUCUUUCUCCUGGCAUUUGGGCUGCCAGGGAUCUUGCUUCUGCCCCACCAACACACUGAAAGCAAGAGCUCUUGACGUGAUGACUAAGGAAAAGAAUUUGGUUUUCAUUUGGAGACAGCUGAUUCUGAAGCCAUCUUAAAGCCUAAGCAUAGCACAACUGCAUUCAUGAUUCUAUGAAUUCUUUCCUACCAUUGGAACUUAGGGAAGGGGAGAGGAAGUGUGCAUCUAGGAAAUGUGGAAGGACAAGCUCUUCGUUCUUUCAUCCUUCCGCUGCCUUCUAACUCUGUGGUCGAGUGUGGUCUUCCCAGGAGAGCAUCUUCCAGGAAACUUAUUAGAAAGGAAGAACCCCAGGCCUCAUUUCACAUCUGAAGCAGAGUCUGCCUUGUAGCCGACUCCUCAGCCAUUGCUAGGCAUGCUAAAGUUGACAAGGCCCUGGUUUAACUCCUGGGGUGGUCUGGUUUAAAGUGAUGAGAUGGCAUCAAAGAUGACGGAAGGACAGAGUCCACAGAGCCAGAAUUUGGGGCAGUGGAGGCAGAGCACCUAUUUCCUGCAUUUGGGCACUGCCAGCAGGUUGAUUCAGAAGAUGGGUGAAAAAUUUGUUCCUGGGGUAGCAGGAGGAGCACCACGACUUUGGAAUCUUUUGCUUAAAAGAAGGAUGAGCUCGGCUGUUCAUACCAUACAUCCCGGAGGUCUUCAGCAAGGUGAGGUUCCUCUGACCAAGAAGCCGGCUGCCCAGAUGCACUAAGCACUAAGCAAUAUGCCUCCCUCGCAUAUUCCGGAUUUGCUGGCUGGCUGAUCUCCAAGCUUGUCCAUCAGCCAGAAAGCAUGUAUUCUGCAAAUCACAACUGGAAAUCAUCCCUGGAGCCAGGCCAGGCUGCCCGUUUCGGAAGAUAAAGUGUGCUCCACGUGGGAAUCACAGCGACAGAAUGGAUGUGUUUUAUUUUUCAUAAUGCUUGAGCCGUAAAUGUGAGCUAACGAGAGAGAGCGCCUGUCAAAUACCUCACAGGUUAGGUGGGUAGUGGACAUGCCAAAUACAGUCCUUUCUCUUCUUCUUGUACCUCUUUUCUCCCUUCACUUUGCAAGUGAAGACGUAACGUGUUAGGGAUGGUUACCUAAAGCUUCUGAAAGGUCGUCAGUACGACACGGGGCGUGUGUGUGUGUGUGUGUGUGUGUGUGUGUGUGUGUGUAUAGGAUUACAGUGUCUAAUGGUACAUUUCCUGGGGACUAAGUUUAAGCUAUGCAAAAUGACAAGAGCAGUCUAAUGAUCACAAUGUAACACGCUGUCAAUUGAAGUGUAACUGCUUACCCUAAUGCCCCGUUGAAAGCUGAUAAGCAACUCUGCUUCGGAUACAAUGUAACGCCUAUCUUAGGACCACCUGAAGUGCAUGAGCAUCAAAGGUGGGAGCAAGGCCGAGGCCUUGAACACGUCCAUGACUCCACCACUGCUAGUAAGUACAUUUCUGAAUCCACCUCCACCAACUCCAUCAGGGCUUUAAACCCCCUUCUGCUGGAGCUUUUCCCCCGAUCUUGUAACUGAGCCGAUGCCUUAUGGGGCUCCUGGGCACACGAGCCUCGCUGUGUCCUCCAUGGCUUGUUUUUAGGAAGGAAGCCUCAGCCUCCAUGACCUCCCCUAAGUUCCAAAGGGCAGGUUUACACAGAUGCAAGUCAGGGAAGGGAGGGGAAGCAGAGACUGGAGAGGAGGAGCCUUCAAGACGCAGUGGUGCAGGAGCGCCCGUCGUGGCUCUGUGGACUCAAAGCUGACUAGCAUCCAUGAGGACGCAGGUUUGAACCUUGGCCUCUCGCAGUGGGUUAAGCAUCUGACGUUGCCAUGAGCUGUGGUGUAGGUUGCAGAUGCAGCUCAAUCUGAUGUUGCUGCAGCUGUGGCGUAGGCCGGCAGCUGCAGCGCCAAUUCAACCCCGAGCCUGGGAGCUUCCAUAUGCUGCAGGGUCAGCCCUAAAAAGCCAAAAAAGAAAAAAAAAAAACCAAAAAAACAAAAAAA